CCCGCGCUCCUCCGGGCAGAGCGCGUGUGGCGGCCGAGCACAUGGGCCCGCGGGCCGGGCGGGCUCGGGGCGGCCGGGACGAGGAGGGGCGACGACGAGCUGCGAGCAAAGAUGUGCCCCGGGACCCCCGGCACCUUCCAGUGGAUUUCCUUGCGGAAAGGAUGUUGGCGGUCCCUGUGACCUGUGGAGACACGGCCAGAUCUGCCCUCCACUGACCAUACUCCCUGGAGCCUUCUCCCGAGGUGCGCGGGUGACCUUGGCACAUACAGCCAUCAUGAUGGUACUUUAAGUGGAGGCUGAAUCAUCUCCCCUUUGAGCUGCUUGGCACGUGGCUCCCUUGGUGUUCCCCUUUUACUGCCAGGACACUGAGAUUUGGAGAGAAUCCUGUUACACCUGGGAUUUAGGCACUUUCAAUCUGAAAAAAUACAUAUCCUUUCAGCACUCUGGACGGACUUGAGAACUGUCCUUACGUGACCUAAAGCUGGAGUAUUUUGAGAUUGGAGAAUUAAGAGUGUGGGCACCCUGGCUUCAAGCUCACGAGAAACCAGAAGGAAGUCACUGUGCAUAGCCAUCCCCUAAGAAGAGGGCAUUCCUGCUCUUCCUUCUCCAUGGCUAGAGGAUCUACAUGAACUAUUUAGAUUUUUUCUACCUGGGAGAUUUAACUCCUCUCUCCUAUUUAUUUAUUUAUAUAUCAGCAUGGACUUGCAGGCCAACAGAGAUUUUGAGAAACACAUUGAAGGAUCUGUUAACACUUGAUAUACCCAAUAAAAGCAGUGGUUGUGCCAGUGCUGAUCUGUCUUGAUGUGAAUGUGAACAAUGGGAACCUGAGCUGAGCAGUUAAUGCUAGGGUGACAGAAACUGGACCUCUCCCAAGACAUGUGACAGAGUAAUACAGCAGCCAACUUCUUCGCCAAAUUAAAGUUUUACAAGAUUUAACCUGUCAUCAAGACCUGGGAUUUUGGUGAGCCAGUCUUGGUGCUCUGUGUUCACCUGGUUCAUCUGAGGAGCUGCAUCUACCCUGCCCAUGCCAUAGAUCCUGCCCUGUUUGCUUCUCCUGUUGCUGCUAGUGGACAUGAGGUAACCACAGCCUAGUUCUGUGAUAAGCUCUUCACACCUGUACCCAUAUGGACUGUGGGAGAGUUUCUCUGAUAUGGACUGUGAUGCGGAUCUUGGACAUGAUACCUGGAUGUGCAGCAGCCAUCUGGUAAUUAUGAGGUGACAAGUCAAUAGACUGAGAUGGUGGAGCAGCAAAGAUAGAAAAGCAAAACUUUGUGGUUUCUGCUCUGAAUGUCAGGGUAACCCUGUCUGAGGAUGAUCACGGAUUUCAUUUUCCCUUGUUUGUUAGCGUUGCGGUCAGCCGCAAGUUGAAAACAAGGAACCAGCUUGAGAAGGACAGAAUAACGGGCUCCCAGAUUCACAAGCCCCACCAAGAGGAUCACCCCAGGAACGCUUGGAGGCUGAGGAGUUCACUGAGGCUACUGCAUCUUGAGACUCAGGAUGAAGACCCAGCUUGGGGCUGUCAAAGGUUUUUUGCAUGUCUGACACCCAUGACUCCACCUGGACCUUAUGGCUCCACCCAGAAGCAAUUCAGCCCAACAGGAGGACAGCUUCAACCCAUUACGAUUUCAUCUCUGCCCCAACCACUCAGCAGCAAGCACCUGUUACCUGUCCACCCCCACCCCUUCCCCCAAACUGCCUUUGAAAAAUCCCUAACCUAUGAGCUUUGAAUAAGAUGAGUACGAACUUCAUCGCCCACGUGGCGUGGCCGGCCUCGUGUCUAUUAAAUUCUUUUUCUACUACAA
rnacentral:lncRNA from 1 species